rnacentral:misc_RNA from 1 species
AGCGACAAACUACACAAAAUCUUAUGGAACAUACUCAUUUUAGUGGUUUCUUUCAAUUAAGACCCAAAAAACAUUUGAAGGUAAAACUUAAAAAAAUAUUGAUUUCUAUAACUCAAAAAUUUUUCAGCUCUUCUUUUUUAUGCAAUACAAAGAAAUAUAGGUCAUUGUACCACAUUUUUAUUACAAAUAAUGUAAGAUAUCCCCACUGCAACGGG